CCUGGUGGCUCAGACGGUAAAGCAUCUGUCUACAAUGCAGGAGGCCCGGGUUCAAUCCCUGGGUCAGGA
rnacentral:tRNA from 1 species